ACAUAAGUAAUAAAUAUGUAAUAGUUACUUAUUAAAAUAAUCGUUGUGUAAUAAAAAAUUACUAAUUCUUUUGUUUUAAGAUUAAGUUAUUUUUAGGACUUGAAACAACGAUUUAUAGCCACAUCAGUGAGUAUAUAAAACACUAAAAUAAAGCAGCACACAUCAUUUCUUCAGCUUCGACGUGAUUUUUGAAAAAUAAAACAUGAACAUCUUCGCUCUCUUGGCAUUGUUCUGUUCCUUUAUUGAUAUGGUUAUUGGAGCCCAAACUGCAUGUGAGUUGCAAAGACAACAAGAACAGGCAAAGAACCUUAGAGGCAACUUCAUUCCGAAAUGUAAUUCAGAUGGUAGCUACAGCCAAGUACAGUGCCACGCAUCAACUGGAUUCUGCUGGUGCGCUGACAAAGAUGGAAACCAAAUCACCAAAUCUGCCCGAGGAAAACCAAACUGUUAGAAAUCGUUAAAAUAAACAGUUACAUUACAGUAACAAUUAUAAUAAAUUUUGUAGACUCUCAA
rnacentral:misc_RNA from 1 species